rnacentral:rRNA from 1 species
AUUGAACGCUGACGGCAUGCCUUACACAUGCAAGUCGAACGGUAACAGAUCUUCGGAUGCUGACGAGUGGCGAACGGGUGAGUAAUACAUCGGAACGUGCCUAGUAGUGGGGGAUAACUACUCGAAAGAGUGGCUAAUACCGCAUGAGAUCUACGGAUGGAAGCAGGGGAUCGCAAGACCUUGUGCUACUAGAGCGGCCGAUGGCAGAUUAGGGAGUUGGUGGGAUAAAAGCUUACCAAGCCGACGAUCUGUAGCUGGUCCGAGAGGACGAUCAGCCACACUGGGACUGAGACACGGCCCAGACUCCUACGGGAGGCAGCAGUGGGGAAUUUUGGACAAUGGGCGCAAGCCUGAUCCAGCAAUGCCGCGUGCAGGAUGAAGGCCUUCGGGUUGUAAACUGCUUUUGUACGGAACGAAAAGCCCUGGGUUAAUACCCUGGGGUCAUGACGGUACCGUAAGAAUAAGCACCGGCUAACUACGUGCCAGCCGCCGCAGUAAUAC